rnacentral:lncRNA from 1 species
CAAUAUAAGCUAAUGAAAAUUACAAUUUUUCCAGGUCUGGCAAACUUAGUGAUCACUGAGUCGAGCAGCUUUUAACAAGUCUGAGACAACUAAAUUCCUAAACUGCAUCUAUGUUAUGUACCUGCUCACUGUCAGUUACCAACCUCUUUGAGAUCACUGACAUUAAAAUUCAACCUUCAGCUUCAUGUGCAUUACUCAUCUCAAGUUACUGGACUUAAACUACAUAGGUAUUACAGAGUAAAAUAUUUCAAAAGGGAAAAAGGAGUUCAAUUAUUUAAAGUGACAUGCAUGUAUGUUAUUUUUUAAGCGCAAUUGAGGUACCUAAGUUCUUGGAAUAA